AUUGAACGCUGGCGGCGUGCUUAACACAUGCAAGUCGUGCGGUAACAGGCGUAGCAAUACGUGCUGACGAGCGGCGAACGGGUGCGUAAUACAUGGGAAUCUGCCCUUUAGUGGGGGAGUAACCCGGCGAAAGCCGGGCUAAUGCCGCAUAAGAUCUUCGGAUGAAAGCGGGGGAGUCGUAAGACCUCGCGCUGAUGGAUGAGCCCAUGUCGGAUUAGCAGUUGGUGAGGUAACGGCUCACCAAGGCGACGAUCCGUAGCUGGUCUGAGAGGACGGCCAGCCACACUGGGACUGAGACACGGCCCAGACUCCUACGGGAGGCAGCAGUGGGGAAUAUUGGACAAUGGGCGAAAGCCUGAUCCAGCGACGCCGCGUGAGGGAUGACGGCCUGGUUGU
rnacentral:rRNA from 1 species